rnacentral:antisense_RNA from 1 species
AAUUCUGCGUGUUCUUUGUCCCCAGGCCCUUAUGUGCCUCUCGGUGUUGUGUGGCCCAGAUGGGGUGGAAUCCUCUGUACCAGGCACCCACCUAAGGCUCUUCCCACCCACUCCUUCCAUUCUUUCUGCUUCUUGCCAUAUUCUCCACUUUCAGAGGUAGAAAUAGGCUCAUAAGACUCAUUUACCCAAAUUCAGCAACAAAGCUGAGAUUUGAACUGAAAGCUCUGUUGCAUUUGCUACAUUCCCCAUAUGUUAUUUUGGUAGCUCCAUGCUACUUUCUCCAGGAGACUCUACACAUUUUAGGUCCAAGGGCUGUUCUAUCCAUCUAGCCUGGUCUUGCACUUAUGAGCUGAUAGAUGUUAGUGAAAAUGAAAAGAAGUCACAGAAGAUGGUAUUGGUAGACUUAAGGGAUGUUUUAUAUGUAAAGUUUA